UACGUAGGGCGCAAGCGUUGUCCGGAUUUAUUGGGCGUAAAGAGCUCGUAGGCGGUUUGUCGCGUCUUCCGUGAAAACUGGGGGCUUAACUUCCAGCUUGCGGUGGAUACGGGCUGACUGGAGUGCGGCAGGGGAGACUGGAAUUCCUGGUGUAGCGGUGGAAUGCGCAGAUAUCAGGAGGAACACUGGUGGCGAAGGCGGGUCUCUGGGCCGAUACUGACGCUGAGGAGCGAAAGCGUGGGGAGCGAACAGG
rnacentral:rRNA from 1 species